rnacentral:rRNA from 1 species
AACGCUGGCGGCGUUCCUAACACAUGCUAGUCGCACGAGAAAGGGGAGCAAUCCGUGAGUAAAGUGGCGCACGGGUGAGUAACACGUGAAUUAUCUACCUCCGAGUGGGGAAUAACUGAGAGUAAUCUUAGCUAAUACAGCAUAACACUUAUGAGUCAAAGCAGCAAUGCGCUUGGACAGGAGUACGCGGCCUAUUAGUUAGUUGACGGGGUAAUGGCCCACCAAGACGAUGAUCGGUAUCAGGCUUGAGAGGGCGCUCGGACACANUGAAACUGAAACACGGUCCAGACUCAUUACGGGAGGCAGCAGUGGGUUAUUUGGCGCAAUGGGGUUAACCUUGACUCAGCUACGCUGCGUGGAGGAUGAAAUAG